rnacentral:lncRNA from 1 species
UUGCUUGCUAUUUUUUCUUUUGUUCUUUUAGGUACAUUUCCCAUGGAAUCCAAAGGUAUACUUCCCAACCUUUGGGAAAUGAUGCUAUUGGAGCCUUGAUGGCUCGGUUUGAUGCCUUUGCCUGAGAAAUGAAAAAUGAUAAUGAUGCCUUGAAAAGUAAUAUGAAUGUUGUGAGGGGUGAAAUAGUAUCCUUGACGGGUGGUGCGAUU